CAGGAAUGAAAUAGCUCAGUACAUCCAUAUCCAGUAGCAGUCCCUGCUGUCUGGAAUGAGCAUGUAACCUCUGGCAUUUCUGCAGUUGCAAAGUCAUGGGAGUGGAUGAGAUCACCUUGGGGGUCAGCACAUAUGAGAGAAAGAGAAGUUCAUGGGUAAGAAGAUAAACAGAAAUCAGAAGAGGUGACUAAAGUAGGAGAAGAACCAAAAGAGAGCUAUGUCAUAAGAAGCAAGAGAAAAAGGUGAUCCAAACAUAGAUGUUCCACAAAACUAUGUGACGCUGGCAGGCAAAGGAUAGAGAAUCAUUAGUCCUUGUGUAAAAACCAAGGCGAAGGAGAGCACUCGUAAUAAAAAAAAAGAACAAGCUGGCCUCUGCGGAAAGGUGGGAUGAUGGCUAGACGAGCGUCAUUGCAGCCGUCACCGGUAAGGUGUGCAGGGGACCUCUGCAAUUGCAUUCCAGAAUCUUCUCUCCACUGUCAUCACUUCUAGGGCUCUGCUCUCCAAACCUCAUUGAAAAACAAGCCCGGAAAUACCCUGAAUUGCUGAUCUUCAAUCAGUUCCUCCAGGAGACUUAAGCCCUCCGUGAGCAUGACAUCCCCAAACUACAAAGGGGUGCAAAGCAACUCUGUAUUGCCCAUGUUUUCUCUCUACCAUCUGACCGUGAGUAUUUCCCAACAUAAGCAAGACCAGAUUCUUUGGCCAGAGCAUGUCGGAGUGUUGAAGGAGCAGGGCAGAGAGCCAGGUUGAGGACUGGACCCUGGGAAUGGGUCCAUCCACCCAGACAGUCUGGGUUGGGUUCCUUGUUUCUCAAAUCCCAGCUGCCUAUCCCACCCCCACCCCACCACCCAAGUCCCAGCGAUGAGUACUUCUCUCCUGGAUCGCAGUAAUAGUGGCCACACGAGCCCUGCAUUCACUCCCUGUGGUUCUCAGCCUGCAGCGAUUUGGCCCUCCAGGGACAUCUGGCAAAGUCGGGACACAUUUUUGGUUGCCAUACCUUGGGGCUGGGGCGCUACUGGCGGGGAGGUCAGAUCGCUGCUAAAUAUCCUGCCGUGUAUGGUACGAGACCCCCACCAGAAAGAACUGUCUAGUCCAGAAUGUCAAUAGUGCCAAGAUUUAGAGACCCUGCUUCUCGUUCCCUUGCAGUAUCUUACAUAUAUAACCUUGCUCUUUUCUUUUUCUUCUUUUGAGUAAACUCUACCCAUGAUGUGGAGCUUGAACUCAUGAUCCCAGGAUCAAGCGUCACAUGCUCUACUGACUGAGACAGCCACAGGUCCCAACUAGGCUCCUUCUUAAGAAGAGCAAAUCAGAUCAUGCUUAAAAGCUCUCUGUGGUUUCCCAUUUUUCUUAAUAUGAAGAUUAAAAAAGAAGAUCCUUAGCUCCUUGAACUGCGAUGGGGCACCCACUCUCCCUCUUUUCUGGUAUCUCGUGCAGUAACCAAACUAACUUUAUUCCUUUUUCUUUUUU